rnacentral:tRNA from 1 species
AAGGCUUUAGCUUAAUUAAAGCACCUGUUUUGCACAUAGGAGAUGUGAGGUAAUAUCUCGCUAGUCUUA